CAGAGGAGAUUAACAAGGAUCUGAGAUUCAAGCUUGAAUUUAUUUGAUGUUUGACUCAUUUGUUUGCUGAAUUCGUUUAUAAGGACAGCAAAUUUGUUCUUAUAUUGGAAGAUUAUGUUAGACCAUCAAACCUGGAAAAGUACAGGAAAAAAAAAACUGAUUUAAUUUCAUAUACACUGAUUUGAUUUGGCGUGUGAAAGAAAUGUGAUCAGGGUUGGACUGCUGGGCAAAUUUUCAGCGUUUGAAAAGGGAAUAUAAUAGUUUCAAAAACUCGUAAGAGCAAGUUCAUCUGGCCAAAACAUGUCAAUGCAUGAACUCCUGACAUCUAAAUCACUUUAAGGACAUUCAGGAUCUGAUAUUUUCAACAAUCACCUUUCACACUUGAACGUCACAGUGGAAAAUGAUCCUGUUGUGUUCUGCCAGUUCACAUGUACUCAGAAUUGUAAUUUAAUCUAAUUCCCACCCAUUAAAGCCACAAAAAGAAACCCUUAAAACAUUCAACAUGGGAUUUAUUAUAACGAAACCAAACUAGGCAACAGGGCAGCAGUUCCCCAUCCAAAUACCUCUCCCUACUGCAGACAGCUCUUGGACCUAAAACUCUCUGGACCAGGUGAGGCUGAUUAUCACACCCUCACAUUUUUGUUUGUUUGCCCUUGUUAUUUCAUACCUUUUCUUAGGGUGACCAUACGUCCUCUUUAACCCGGACAUGUCCUCUUUUUGGGGGGCCGUCCGAGUUUGUCUGGGGAAGUUUAUAAAUUCCUUCAAAUGUCCGCGGUUUUGUAUGCAAGUUUCUAUUUUGUGUCGUGUGGACUUACUGAGUUAGAGGUGCAUAAAAGAAACUCGAUCUGACCUGAAAAACUUGCAAAAUUAACUUCAUUUGACUCUGUGACUCCGCCCCCACGUAGUCAUGUCCUCUUUUUGCAGAAGUCAGAAUAUGGUCACCCUACCUUUUCUGUGCUCUAGGAUCAUAUGUUUGAUCCACUCAAGCCAUCUCUACCUCUCUUUCUAACAUGUAUAUCGCUGUUGUAGUUUUGACCCAAAAACUUUUUUAUGAAAAAUUCUUGAAAUUGUGUUUUAACUUUUUCCCCAAACAUGAAUUUAGACUUCUUUUAACAAUGAUGCUAAGGCUUUUUUUCCCUCAUAUUUGACGUUUUCUCAGCAUGUUGAUUUUUCUUAGUGUAAAAAACUGUCAUAGACAGUAUAUACUAUGGACAACUUGGUUCCGCCUUCUGCCAGUAUACAGAUUUGAAGCCAGAAAGCUCUCACUAAUUCCACGUUUUUUGCGCAGUAGCAUUGUACGCAUUCAGCAGGAGAGUUGCUGAGAGUCACUGUGAUGACGCUCGGCUCAAACAGCGUAUCCCUCGGGUGAGCUACGCAAUCUUCGUACACCCAUAGGCUGUAUCAAGUGUCAAUCAUAGAAAACAUGAACCCCCUAAUAACUUUUAAAAACGGAGCUGCACAGAAAAAAGAGGAUUUGAGCACAAACCAGUCUUACAAGAAUGCAAGCAGUGGGGAAAAAAAAAUAUUCUGUGUAAUAAAUUUCUAAAGUUUGUCCACAGCCCCAUACGCUUUGCUGGGAGAGGCGGGAUUUAUGACCUAUACUGCAGCCUGUCACCAGAGGGUGCUGUUCUUGGGGUGACUUCAACCAGCGAGGAGGCAGACGGCGUCCAUUCUAUAUACAGUCUAUGAAAACUAAAAACAAACAAAAAAAAAAAAAACAGCUUAAUCAAACGUAAAAUAACCCAAAGAGAAAUAUAUUGCAAGUGUUAAAAGGAUUAUACCAAAUGAUCUUUUAUCCUCACAUAUCCACAUUUAAUCUGCAGUAAAAGUCCAAAAGACCAGCUGUGUUUGAACUGUUUUUCACCCAGCAGCCAAAAACCUAAAACAGACUUAAAGCCCUCAGCCCAUUGUUUGAAAGAGCAGUCGCUCCCAAUCACAUCAACACUUGAACAUUAGACUGCAGAUUGGGAUCAUUUGUCCCAAAGCCGAGAACACGUGUCGAGACAUUGAACUUACUCUCCUCUGCUCUGACUCUGUAAGGCUAAAAUAAUGUCAGGGACAGGAAAAAGCUGUUGUGUUAUCUUGUCAAAGCAUGAAGACCUCACAACAAUAGAAUGAAGGGAAGUGUUUUAUACCUAAAUUGGGGAUUGAUGACAUAUAUUUGAUGACCGGCAACGGUUUGAACUGCAAGCCGAACACUUCAAAGGGAUCGGGUUUCCUCACCAGUUUAUUUCCAGUUCCUCUCUGCGAUGAGUUUUUAGUGGUGCGGGCUUGGCUGAGGGAGAAAGGGAAGGAGAUUUUACACACGGACGGACAGAUGUAGGAUCGUGCACGCACUCACACACAUGCGUGCGCGCAGGAGAGCUUCGAUGGAGUGCCUGCACUUCAAACAAAUGGGACUUCAUCAGUGUACAUCAGUAAUGGUUCCAGGCUGCCCCGACAGCACUAAUCAUUUCCAGAGGGACACGCAGAGCAAGACACAGAGAUCGAGUUUUUUCCUAAAGCCUGAGGGCCCUGCUUGCUGGUGUACCUUGAGCAAAUCAAACAUUAAGCAUAUGUAAUCCAGUGUGCAAGUUCAGACAUGUGACGGACACUAUGAGGGAUUUGGAUGAGGGUUAUUGUGCACGUUCCCAUCAUGUAAAACUUACUAAAAAACGUUGUUUUUACCUUUUAAACUGUUUUCUUAUCUGCUUUGUGUACAUUCGUCUCACGCAGGGUGCAAGAAAUAAAUAUAAUCUCACAAGGCAACAAUCUAAACCUUUGUAAGGAUGAAAGUCAAAUAAACAAAGAGCAGGAGGCUGUGAAAUAGACCUUUUGUUGCUUACAACAAAAGUUUGCCUUGAAUAGCAAUAAUUUUAUUUGAAGUGAUCCAACUGCAGCCAAGAUGCCCUUUCCUUUAUGUCCAAAGCAAACAAGCUGUUUGUUGUCCCUAAGAGAGUUAAUGUGGUGUGAAUAUCCACAGCAGAAUCUCUGUAUUUAGAAUCAAAUGAAGCUGAAAAUGGCCAGGUGCUGUAGAUACAGAGAAAACAAGUCAUCAGUCUGGUCCAUGCAGGCGGGGGGAGAAAAGAAAGUGAUAAUGUUUGUGCACCUGUGGAAAAUCCUUUGUGAGGAACACCAAGUGUUCUCAAUUUUGAGGAUAAAAAGAAAGAAAGAGAGAGAGAGAGAGGGAAUGGGAAGGCCUCUUACUUUAAUGUUUCUUUCUUUUCUCUGACCAGACUGUUGGAAAGGGAAGAAGUCACAGGAGAGUUCUGGCAAGACUCAAUGCCAUCAGGGGAGUUUGGAUUGAAGCUCUUAACUCUCCAAACAAAAUGUUGUAUCCUUAACUUGUAAGCAGGAAAGCAAAGAGGAAUGACUUAAAGUGUAUUUCCCAACAGGAGGAUGGCAGGUUUGACUGCCAUCCAAAGUAGAGUGCAAAAAAAAAGAGAAAUGUUUCCUCCUCAGAUAACAAGGAUAAAUGGAGGGAUUGUUUCCUCGGCACAAACAGACAGAUUUGGGAGAGAAAGAGACCAUGUGUGGUGACAGUUGGUCCCAUCAUGUGACGCCCCUUUGGCAGACCGGUGAGAUCUGGGCGUGCUGGUUGGCCGCUUGUCAUUUCAAGGUCACGCCUGAUUGGACAGCGGUCAACGACACAGCCACACCCCUCUGUUGGGGAAGCUAAUCUCUAGGUAGCAGGUCCAGAACAGAAGGCUGAGAUGGAAACUUCCCUAUCUGCGCUCACACAGACACACAAAUACAGUUUCUGCCACACCACCCACUUUUCCUGUUGUUACACACAAUCUCUUCCUUUUCUUUCACUCCUCUAUUUACACACACACACACACAGACACACUAAGCAGUGUAAGAGGAACAACCCCUGUGUGGGAAAUCAUCUGCAACAUAGAUUCUCAGUGAUCACUUUGGUUUUUUCCCUCCGACCUUCCACCGCAAACAUCUGACAAACGACGUGCCUCCAUGAUCUAAUCCUAAUGCAGUUUACGAGCCAUUACCGGCCCCGACAUCCGCAUGGUUGUUUCAGCUGACACAAUUUGUGGUUACAGCUUCAUCGCCUCAACAGUCAAAACACAGAACAGUUCUUGACAGUAAAUUAUUACUUACCUUGGAAUGUGAAAACAGCUCUGCAGCCAGAGAGGAGAUUUAGAGCGGAGGGAGAAUUCACAGCGCAAUGUGACAUCAGGCAUUUUGGCAGACGUGGAAAAAAUGUGAUUGUAAUCAGACAAUGGUCACAGCCGGUGAGAUGUGUUUAAAAAUGUUCGAGCAUUCUGGAGGGAAAGAAGCACAAUGCCUGCAAAGCACUGCAGCUCAGCCUUCAUGUCUGAUCUUGUUCUUUCUUAUUUGCUUUUAUCCUUUUUCUUGUUUUUCUUGUUCGAGUUAUUGUGGAUGACUGAAAAAGGAUGCUUCAAGUAUAAUGUGAUACAUUUUUUUAGUUGAACUUCCACAUUAAAUGCCUGCACUCUGCUCUCUUUCUGGUUGAUGGCUUAACUUGCUUUCAUAGAAAAUAUCUGCUACAGUCACCUCACUAGAAAUAACAACUCGAGCCGGUUACUUUGCAUAACUUUUACAGGCUGUGAUGCAAAUACUUCUCAUGGGCUGUCCUCCUCCCUCAGGAGCAAGAGCUUGAUGCCAUACACAACCACUAUGACCAACCUUAAAGCAGACAACUCAUGGUAAGCCUCUGAAAUCUAACCUGAUUUUGAAAACAUCCGAGACCCCACACUGGAUAACAAACAGUUUUGUUCAAGUGUGUGUGCAGUAAUGUGGUGAACACAGUAUAUCCAGGGAUGACAGUAAGCCAGUACGCAGCGGUACGCAAACUUUCACCCCUGCAGUGUAUGUCAGCUACAUUUGCUUAUCGUAUUGCCGCACGUCAGUCUGCACUCUACAUUGUAACCGUAGUAAUCCAAUAGGACCAUGUUGCUUGCGAAUGAGUUUUAUUUGCUUCUGCAAACAAACAAACUCCAGAAGUGGGAGUGCUCAGUGCGCACUUUUGAUUGGACGCUGCUUGCCUAGGCACUGGGGACCGCCUCCCACCUUUUGCGGAAGGAGGGAAUUCUUAAAGAGAUAGCUGUUUCAAUCUUAAUGCAGAAAUAAAACAAAAUGCAGAGAAAUGAUUUUAUGUUUAAGAGAAAGAGAGAUGCAGCACAUGAUGCUACUGUGGCAUCAGAGUCUGCACCUCGUUAAACUUGGGUGUGCUCCUCUUGUACAAAGCCUGCGGGGACAGUACCUGCAAGAACCUUAUCCUACUGUCACCCUUGAGUAUAUCACACAUAAAAAGAGCAACAGAAGAAGCAGCUGGGAUCCCGACUCUCAUAGCUGGAAAACUUGUAAAGUCUCUUUUAGAUGAACAUGAAUUUAGAGGAAAUUAACAUGGCAGCCUACAGAGGGAACUAUUGCUAACCGCUAAGCUUCCUGGUACUUACGUUGAAAUAGCCAUGUAGCAACCAAUGGAUUCCAUAUCAAGUUCAUCCAUUUGAGUUUAAGCUCUGCUUUUACUAUCAUUGCUAUGGUUGCAUUUGUUGAGUUUCCUUCUUUAGUCCACUUCCUGAUAAUGUUCAACAUGCUCGAUCCCCCCACACAGAAAGAUUUCUGGUCAUAAAUAUUGACUCAACUGUAUGAACACAUGUUAACCUACCAUAAUAAUCUACCUCAAUCCACUCAAACCUGAUUUUCUUCUAACUUCAAAACCACCUAAGAAGCUUUGGACAAGAAGUAACUUACACUGUGUGUAAAUGAGCCUAAAACACGGCCGAUAGAAAAGCACUGAAGUUUUACAAACCAGUAUGCCCACACAUUUUGUACUUUGGAAUCCGAGGUUCAUCCUGUUCAACUGGCUCCAAGCAAGGUCGAUUUUUUUGUCUUCAAUCUUUAUACAAGGUCGGCAGAAACAUUAGGUCCACAAACGUUAUAAUCCAUGAUGGACUAGUUUAUACCAUUUCACAAAGUGUUGUUCAAAAUAAUGUUGUUUCGAUACUCUUGAAUUCAUCAGUCAUGGUUUCAUGGUUUGCUGUACGUUAUCUACAAAAAUAAAUGAGAGCAAACUAAAAUAAAAUACAAAAUGAGUCUGAGGCAGUUAAUUUGAGCUGCAGAAACAGAUAUUAAGAGCUGGUCGUCUUUGUAGGCCAUUGAUAUGAGGACAAACCUGUGGGAUAGAUGCCGAGUUUUCUUAUGCAAACUCUGUUUUUUAAUAUAUGGAAUGAAUUGAAAAGUAUAAAAAAACGUUUUUUCCCCCUUAUCUAUCUGGAUGAGAACGUCACAGGAAUGGAUCACCGAACACUCCUUGCGUUAAAUGUGUGAGGACAUUUUGUUUGCACUGUUGGCUCUGAAAUGACUUAGUCAUGACAUUGACAAACUGAAGUCCACGCUCUCUCUCUCUUUGUCAUCCACAACUCCUGUUUUCUGUAUCGCUUUCCACCUCACAUUAUAUGGGAACUGUGUGUCGAGCUUGUCACACAGUCACUGACAUGUUGAGUACGGCUGCUUAUCGGGCUUGCUUGUGAAAUUGGCCAUGAUACACCGAUGAUGUGGUCAGGCAAGCUGGCAGUACAGAAGACAGGAGGAGGCAGGAGCAGGGAGAGGAAGCUUAUUUCCUGAGAGGAAUAUUGAUCUGAUCGUCUCUUCCUUUGGCUCGAGCUCCUUUCCUCAGAGGAAGAGGUUGAGUGACAUAGACAGGGGAGGAGAUGGAGGCUGAGAGGGAGUGAAGGAGACAGAGAAAAGGAGACAGAUAAGGGGAUGAUGGCGCCAUGGCAGUAUUCUCUCUACCAGGUCGGUGUUUCAGUGCUGUGCGGCAAUGGCACAGAGAACAGAUGAAUAAUAUAUCCCCACAAUCUCUCGAGUGGUGUGGCUCCAAAGCACUCCAUUAGAACCACAAGUGCACAUGUUGCAGUGAGGCACUUUAGUCAGCACACCCUCAAAAUGCUCUAUCUGUCCAUCUGAAAUGCACACCCCUCCUGCUCAAGUUCAUCACUAUCAAUCACAAGCUAUUAGGCCCCAGGAAAAAAAGCCACAGCUGAUAAAACCCUUAUAGAAGAACGUCUUAAUUGAUGCCUCUACAUCCAGCCCUCGUAUCCCCGUGGCACAACGCUGACGUGAUCUACAAACUCAUCAGGAGGAAAUUAACCAACUCAACAGGCCAUGUUUUGUCCAGAGAGACCAAACCCAGUAAGUAUCCUGAACUGCUGAACUAAGCACAUUAGAGCACCAGGUCUUCGUCUUACUGUACUUCAGAUUCUUCUGGGACAUGCAGGAGACGACUAUUUUAGUGUACUGUUUCAAUGCACAACCUUAAAAUGCUCUUUGGUUCAUCUCUAGAGGUAAAAAUAUGGACAUAAUAGGGAGGAGGGAGCGGUCAGGGCAGAACCACCCCGCGUGUGUGUGUGUAUGGACUAGGGCUGCCACUAACGAUUAUUUUGAUAAUCAACUAAUCACUGAUUAUUUUUGCGAUUAGUCGACUAAUCGGAUCAUACUUAAAUUGCAGUUCAUUGCACCAGAAUGCAGCAGCUCUAAAAUAAUCAUCAUUAGCUUCCAGCUGAAAGUGUUUAAGGUAUGUGCAAAGUUUAAUGAAAUCCUCAUCGUUAAUGUUGACUUUAAGAAGCUCACUGUUGACGUCGAUGUUAGCAGCCAAACAGCAGAUUAGCUUACUGAGACGACUGUCCCUCUUCCUCAGAAACUAAAUCGGGUACGACGUGCUUCCUUUUCAGAUGCUUGUAUAUCGUCAUCGCGCUGCCAUGGAGGGGAAGUUCUAUCUUGCAGAUUUUGCAUCGCUCAUGUUUCUCUUUUAUUUUGGAAAAAUGCUCCCAAACUUUUGAGCUCUGUUGCCGGCUAGCCAUGAUUCUGUUUGGACAUAACAUUUCCGGUGUGUCCUGGGUUAUCACUACAGCGCAUAUGCGUUAAGGACAGAAAGAGACGAGUAAGACAAGACAGCGGAAGGUUCAGUGGCAGUUUUGAGAGAAAAACAAAGCUUCAUUUUGACAUCAAGAUUUUCAUCAAGAUAAACAACCCAUCGUGACUAGUUGACUAAUCUUGGCAGCCCUAGUGUGUGCAUAGGUGUGUGUGAAAUGCUCUCGCUAUAUGUUUCAACACAUGCCAGAGCACUGAAACGCAGUGUGAAAUCAGACUUGUCGUAGCUCGCAUAGGGGUAUUAACUGGACUACUUUCCAGUUUACAAGCACCAAGCAAAAAUCGAAUGAUUGACAGAAGCAUGUCCACCUCCGGUACAAUAGGCGGCGACAUGCACCCCUCCAACUCUUUACCAAUGGGUCGUCUUAAUAGGUCAUCUCCCGGUUGACCUAUUAUGCAUCAAAACAAUCGGCAAACAUGUAAGCAAGAAGCUAACAGGAUGUAAAACAACGAAUCAGUCAAUUCUUCCUCUGUCAAGGUUUUGUUUACUACCCAGUUUCUAAGCAACUCGGUAGUGCUAUUCAACUUUCAGCUUGAAACCCGUUGUGAGAACUUUGGGGUGUGUCAACGUACUGAAUGUGUCAGUACAAACGCAAAGUGGUAGCGUUGUUAUAGAAGCAAAAACAUACGCUAUUUAGAUCCCUUUCCCUAAAUAGUGUUAUAUUUAAGAAGUUUAGUCACUCAAUUCAAAAGGAAAUCAAACGGAAAAAUUCUGUCUUCUAACGAAUGCUAACUUUCACCUUUUGAGUGGAUAACCACAUCUAUACUGCCUUGCUGCAGAACCGCAAUUCAUGUAGAGUAUGUAGACCUAAGACUUGUUCCAGUCAACAGUGCAACAUGGAAAUUUGCUAUAGGAAACACACACAGAAAAUAUAACAAUUAAUCUUCAAGGUCCUCCAAAAAAUUAAGUGAAAAGUGACCAAAGGAGUAGUAUUGGUGCCUCCAGUUGUUAAAAAGAUACCUGUAAUGUAUUGUUAUAUACAUGUGAAAGUUGUGUUGUUAGAAAAAACCCUCAUUCUGUUGUCUUUCAUCAAUGAAAUUCAUCCCUAAAUGUGAGUACAAGUAAAAAAAAAGGAAGUUGUUCAGCCUGUUUUUAAUCAUCUGGUCUGACACCAUUCCUCUCACAGCAACAAAAAAGUUACUUGAUGUGACUUUGAGAAAGUUGGUUAAACUUAAAACUAAGUCAAGCUUAAAUUAAUUCUGGCACAGUUUGUGUACAGUCUGAGAAUUUAAAAAUAUGACUGUUUUGAUGUGUGACAACCUAUUUGGGACUAUUCCGUUCCACAGGUCUGCCCCACAUUAGGCAACUGGCUAUAAUUACCAGACCUCACAGCUUUAUAAGCAUUUUUAAAUGGGGCCCAGUCAUCUACACCGAUUGCCCGCUGCAGCCGCUUGAAAACCUGAGCCUGUCCCCCUGCUGCCGUUGGCAUGCAUGCUGCUAACCUGUAAACAAUUCAUGAGGGCCCUCUUCAUAUUUCAUGGGGCAGAAAUGGAUGUUUCAUGUCAGGAGUAAAGCGAGAGUGGGAAGGGGAGAGACAAAGCACCAAGACUGAGCGAGGGAAGGGUGACAAGAGCUAAAGUGAGGACAUGUGAUGGGAAAGAAAGGGAAGAAUAAGAAGGAGGAGGAGGAGGUGGGGGAGGAGGGAGAGAUUGAGGAAUCUGUACAAUCUGUGCCAUGGAUUCCCUCACAGCUCAUCUCAGAUCUCUUCACAAUUAACUUCCACCUCACCUCAUUCAUUCGUUGGCCUACCCUCACCAGUAUGUGGAGCUUCCUGGGCUCAUUGACACUGGCUUGAGAAUGAAAAAGGACAGAGAAAAAUAGAGAGGAUGAAACAAAGGCUGCCACAUAAGGAAGAGAGAGAAGAAGAAAGACGGCGAUAGAGAAGGAGGGGUAAAGAGAGUCACACAAUCACUCGGCACAGCUAAUGAAUGUUCGGCGGCGGGUGGCGGCUCCUCCACAGGGAGCUGCCCUCAUAACCGACAGGGCCUGGCUGGGUGUAGUAAUUGAAAGUAAUGAUAAUUAAUAUCAUCGGCAUAAUCACCAUCCGUUAUUACAGGGAGAAUGUUUACGGCUUCCUGGGAAAGGGAGAAAUAAGGCACAGUUUGUUCAAAAGAAGGGAAUCUCAUUAACCUUUUAGCUAUCCUAAUCUUGUUUAAUAUCAGGGAGCGAGGAAAGUGCUAAGUGUUUUUGCAGCCGUGGCUGGGUUAUUAUUUAGAAAGAUUAAAAAAAUAACAUUAAUUCAUGGUGCUUUUCCUCUCUGUUGAACUGAAAAUUGAUGUUAAAUCUGGAUAAAUUGGGUUUGAUGUCGUGGAUAACAAGUUGGGAUUAAAACACAUGAGACUUCCCUGCAUGAGUGGAAUAUGCAUUUUAAGAUAUAUGCAGCUUUGACGUCUUACAGCAGAGCAUUUGAGAGGCAAAUUACCCUAGGCAAAUAUGAGAGAUAAGCAGCGGGCUAUAACCAGGAACAACGCAGGUCCUCGAUUUACAGUGGCUUCUGGUGGGUGAUGUAUCAACCCUGCUAAUGUUUCCUGAAUCUCUGUGGAUUCAGAAGGAGAAUGUCAAACUUAGUGCAGAAUAAGUGAAUGCAUAUCAUGAAUAUAUUUCCAUUUGUUGGAGUCAGAGAUAUUAUGUAUUACCAUGGGAAACAUGGAGACUGAUUAGCAGUAUUACAAAUUCAGUGGAAUGUGUUACUAGCUGAACUGGAGGGGUUAGCAUAUGUAAGCAAUGUUGCUAACUUCACGGCCUUUUUUUCCUCUUUCUGUCGUUUUUCACUAUUUUCCACACGCGUACUGUACACAGGGAGAGAUAUGGCUUUGAGAGCGAUACACCAUGGAGAAGAUUGCACUGACUCCAGCUUGUUAAAAACACCUUUCUCCCUCACUUACUCUCUUUAAGAAACCUAUAGUUAUUCAGUUAGUUCAAGUACAAUUACGUGCCUUUCAAUUGCAAAUCAGAGUCGAGCCACGAAUCCGAAUAGACAAUCAAGCGAGGUCGCCUCCAAAAACACAAGCCCCGCGUUAAGCCAACUCCAGCCU